AAUUUUUCUAUUACCCAACAAAAGUCUGGUGGUGACAUUUCCAUGGUGAUAGACCUCUUUGCUUUCAAUAACUUGUUCAUCCACCACCUUAGUCUCCAUGGUCCCACAGUAGUAGAGUCCCAGGUCAGAUUCAGUGAUGUUCUCAAUCAGUAGGUCAUAGGUGUUGUUUGAUGGGUUCCACAGUGGAGUGAACCGAGGAAAAUUCACUGUCGUUCUAACUGGCAUAAUUAGAAGAGGCUGAUGCUGGUGAGAGCAGUUCCUGAACCAUGUGAUAUAUAUUCCAGUGGAUGGUCUGCAGUCACAGUACAGAGUCACAUUGUGUCCUGGUCUGACUAUCAGCUCCACCUCAGAUCCAGAGAUCCCAUCCUGACUGGAGGAGACAGCACCUACAGGUCUGGUGUGUUGUCUGAGGGUAUCUGGGUCUAGGGGUGCAGAUUUCCGUGAUGACGACAGUAGACAGAGCUUUACCAUGAAAGGACAUAAGAGCAGAGAUUGGUUCAGUUGAAUGGAAAGUUUCGAGCUUGUGGCCCAUCUCUCGGAAACCCAUGUCCUGUGACGUGAAGAGGAAGGUCUCGCAUUGUAAAGAGUCAGACAUCUUUCACAUCACCUAGACAGAGUUGAGGUUGUCAAUGUAGACUGCAGCACUUCAUUACGUUUUUUUAAUCUAAAACAAGCACAAAGCUUCCUGUCAAUGGAGAGUCAAACACUCCUUCUAGAUGAUAUCUGACCUCUGAAACAGAAACAUUCAGUCAUAGAAGACAAGAGCCUAAAGGAGGCCUACAGACCUUCAUAAUGACACUUAAUAACAUUACUUCCGGUUUAAUGUUUGCGCAACUUUACACAUUAUCAAUCAUAAAUGUAAAAUAAUGUAGGUCGAUAUUAUUAACUGUUUGAAGUACAGUCAGUCAGAGGCUUUUAUAAACUGGGUCACACAGAUGACCCUCUAGAUUGUAAUCCAGAGGUUUAAACUCAAAAACUCAGCUGAUGAGCAAAACAAACACCAAGGAUGAGAAGACAACACUCAUAGAGACACUGAAUACACAGAGUGAUUUCUUGCUCAAUCAAUGUUUGUAGAGCAUUAUUAAACUGCUGUUGUAAAUAGAGUACAAUACCCAUGAUGCAUUAGGUGACACACUGGUAUGACACUCAACCGACUGUAGUGAUUCUUGUUUCCCUGGUGAUGUGUGAUGCAUAUUUCUGUGUGUAGCACACACACAGCAUCAGUACAACAUCAAAACCACAUUCAGAAAUGCAGAUACAAAUUCACUGUUACCAUUUUGCAGAAGAAUGUGAAAAUGUAACAUUGAAAAGCAUAUGCACUUCAGUCCUCUUUGUGCGAAUAGCAAAACGAUGGCAGCAGAAACAGGAAGUCGUGUGGGUUUUCUGUACUGAGGUCUUUAUGAAAAAGAUGUGUUCAUAAAGUAUAUUUUGUGGUGUAACAUUUUAGAAAAAGUAAUAUUAGAGGUUAUUUAUGGUUUAUACAUAAAGUAUGUAUAUGUUUCCAUUUAUUU
ensembl:lncRNA